rnacentral:lncRNA from 1 species
AGAGACAAGGUCUUGCUCUGUCACCCUGGCUGGUCUUGAACUCCUGGCUUCAAGCAAUUCAUCCAUCUCAGCCUCCUGAGUAGCUGGGAUUACAGAAAAAACAGUGAAGCAUAGACAGUUUUUGCAAGAGGCCCAAGAUCAUACAUCAAAUAUGUGCACAGCCAGGACCUGAACCAGUUGAUAUCUACAAAUGCCUGGCUUUUGCCACUGGGCUCCUUCAGUCGUGCUGGUGAUUGCUGGGAAGAGAUGGAGAUAAGCAGCCUUGACUCACUCCGGAUGAAAAAAAUUCCUCUUCCUUUUUGCCUCACUUUGUUUGGAGAAGACAAAAUUUUCUUUCAUUUAUUGACACAUUUUAUUUUUUUCUGAAGAAUGUCAUGGAACUGGAAUAUCACUUGAAAGAACAUGAGUACUCUGUGGAUAACGUGUUCUCCCACUGCAUACAUUAUUUCAAACAACUGUUUAUUUUAUUUUAUUUUUGAGACAGGGUCUCACUCUGUCA